rnacentral:rRNA from 1 species
AUUGAACGCUGGCGGCAGGCCUAACACAUGCAAGUCGAGCGGAUGAAGGGAGCUUGCUCCUGGAUUCAGCGGCGGACGGGUGAGUAAUGCCUAGGAAUCUGCCUGGUAGUGGGGGAUAACGUCCGGAAACGGGCGCUAAUACCGCAUACGUCCUGAGGGAGAAAGUGGGGGAUCUUCGGACCUCACGCUAUCAGAUGAGCCUAGGUCGGAUUAGCUAGUUGGUGGGGUAAAGGCCUACCAAGGCGACGAUCCGUAACUGGUCUGAGAGGAUGAUAAGUCACACUGGAACUGAGACACGGUCCAGACUCCUACGGGAGGCAGCAGUGGGGAAUAUUGGACUAUGGGCGAAAGCCUGAUCCAGCCAUGCCGCGUGUGUGAAGAAGGUCUUCGGAUUGUAAAACACUUUAAGUUGGGAGGAAGGGCAGUAAGUUAAUACCUUGCUGUUUUGACGUUACCAACAGAAUAAGCACCGGCUAACUUCGUG